rnacentral:rRNA from 1 species
CAGCCGCCACGGUAAUACGAAGGGUGCAAGCGUUAAUCGGAAUUACUGGGCGUAAAGCGUGCGUAGGCGGUUUGUUAAGUCUGCUGUGAAAUCCCCGGGCUCAACCUGGGAAUGGCAGUGGAUACUGGCAAGCUAGAGUGUGUCAGAGGAUGGUGGAAUUCCCGGUGUAGCGGUGAAAUGCGUAGAGAUCGGGAGGAACAUCAGUGGCGAAGGCGGCCAUCUGGGACAACACUGACGCUGAGGCACGAAAGCGUGGGGAGCAAACAGGAUUAGAGACCCGCGUAGUCCCUGUCUCUUAUAC